rnacentral:rRNA from 1 species
GACGAACGCUGGCGGCGUGCUUAACACAUGCAAGUCGAACGGAAAGGCCCUGCUUUUGUGGGGUGCUCGAGUGGCGAACGGGUGAGUAACACGUGAGUAACCUGCCCUUGACUUUGGGAUAACUUCAGGAAACUGGGGCUAAUACCGGAUAGGAGCUCCUGCUGCAUGGUGGGGGUUGGAAAGUUUCGGCGGUUGGGGAUGGACUCGCGGCUUAUCAGCUUGUUGGUGGGGUAGUGGCUUACCAAGGCUUUGACGGGUAGCCGGCCUGAGAGGGUGACCGGCCACAUUGGGACUGAGAUACGGCCCAGACUCCUACGGGAGGCAGUAGUGGGGAAUAUUGCACAAUGGGCGGAAGCCUGAUGCAGCAACGCCGCGUGCGGGAUGACGGCCUUCGGGUUGUAAACCGCUUUCGCCUGUGGCGAAGCGUGAGUGACGGUAAUGGGUAAAGAAGCACCGGCUAACUACGUG